GGUUGUAAACCUCUUUUCUCAGGAGGAAGAACUGNCGUUACUUGAGGAAUACGCAUCGGCUAACCCUGUGCCNNCNGCCGCGGUAAUACCGGGGAUGCAAGUGUUAUCCGGAAUUAUUGGGCGUAAAGCGUCUGCAGGUUGAUAUUUAAGUCUUUUGUUAAACCUCUGGGCUUAACCCGGAAUCUGCCAAAGAAACUAUUUAUCUUGAGUAUGGUAGAGGUAAAGGGAAUUUCCNGUGGANCGGKGAAAUGCNUANAUUUUGGAAANAACACCNAAAGCGAANGNNCUUUACUGGGCCAGUACUGACACUCANAGACGAAAGCUAGGGGANCAAACGGGAUUANAUACCCCGGNAGUCCUAGCUGUAAACNAUGGAUACUANAUGUUGUGCAUUUUUUAAAUGUGCAGUGUCGUAGCUAACGCGUUAAGUAUCCCGCCUGGGAAGUAUGCUCGCAAGAGUGAAACUCA
rnacentral:rRNA from 1 species